rnacentral:rRNA from 1 species
UACGUAGGGCGCAAGCGUUAUCCGGAAUUUAUUGGGCGUAAAGAGCUCGUAGGCGGUUUGUCGCGUCUGCCGUGAAAGUCCGGGGCUCAACUCCGGAUCUGCGGUGGGUACGGGCAGACUAGAGUGAUGUAGGGGAGACUGGAAUUCCUGGUGUAGCGGUGAAAUGCGCAGAUAUCAGGAGGAACACCGAUGGCGAAGGCAGGUCUCUGGGCAUUAACUGACGCUGAGGAGCGGAAGCAUGGGGAGCGAACAGG